rnacentral:rRNA from 1 species
UACGUAGGGAGCAAGCGUUGUUCGGAGUUACUGGGCGUAAAGGGUGCGUAGGCGGUUUGGCAAGUCUUGUGUGAAAUCUUUGGGCUCAACCCAAAGUCUGCACAAGAAACUGCCGGGCUUGAGUAUGGGAGAGGUGAGUGGAAUUUCCGGUGUAGCGGUGAAAUGCGUAGAUAUCGGAAGGAACACCUGUGGCGAAAGCGGCUCACUGGACCAUUACUGACGCUGAGGCACGAAAGCUAGGGGGGCAAACAGG